UACAUGUGGGGCAAGCGUUGUUCGGAAUUACUGGGCGUAAAGGGUGCGUAGGCGGCUUGCCAAGUCGCAGGUGAAAGUUUUCGGCCCAACCGGAAAAGUGCCUGCGAUACUGGCGAGCUUGAGUGCGCGAGGGGUUGGGGGAACGAGCAGUGUAGCGGUGAAAUGCAUAGAUAUGACCCGGAACACCUAUUGCGAAGGCAGCAGGCUAAACAAAGAUUGACGCUGAGGCUCGAAAGCGUGGGGAUCAAACAGG
rnacentral:rRNA from 1 species